rnacentral:rRNA from 1 species
AGAUUGAACGCUGGCGGCAGGCCUAACACAUGCAAGUCGAGCGGUAGAGAGGUGCUUGCAUCUCUUGAGAGCGGCGGACGGGUGAGUAAUGCCUAGGAAUCUGCCUAGUGGUGGGGGAUAACGUUCGGAAACGGACGCUAAUACCGCAUACGUCCUACGGGAGAAAGCGGGGGACCUUCGGGCCUCGCGCCAUUAGAUGAGCCUAGGUCGGAUUAGCUAGUUGGUGAGGUAAUGGCUCACCAAGGCGACGAUCCGUAACUGGUCUGAGAGGAUGAUCAGUCGCACUGGAACUGAGACACGGUCCAGACUCCUACGGGAGGCAGCAGUGGGGAAUAUUGGACAAUGGGCGAAAGCCUGAUCCAGCCAUGCCGCGUGUGUGAAGAAGGUCUUCGGAUUGAAAGCACUUUAAGUGGAGGAAGGUUGUAACCUAAUACGUUGCAACUUUGACGUUACGACAGAAUAAGCACCGGCUAACUUCGCGCCAGCAGCCGA